UGGGGAAUAUUGCACAAUGGGCGCAAGCCUGAUGCAGCCAUGCCGCGUGUAUGAAGAAGGCCUUCGGGUUGUAAAGUACUUUCAGCGAGGAGGAAGGCGGUAAGGUUAAUAACCUUAUCGAUUGACGUUACUCGCAGAAGAAGCACCGGCUAACUCCGUGCCAGCAGCCGCGGUAAUACGGAGGGUGCAAGCGUGAAUCGGAAUUACUGGGCGUAAAGCGCACGCAGGCGGUCUGUCAAGUCGGAUGUGAAAUCCCCGGGCUCAACCUGGGAACUGCAUUCGAAACUGGCAGGCUAGAGUCUUGUAGAGGGGGGUAGAAUUCCAGGUGUAGCGGUGAAAUGCGUAGAGAUCUGGAGGAAUACCGGUGGCGAAGGCGGCCCCCUGGACAAAGACUGACGCUCAGGUGCGAAAGCGUGGGGAGCAAACA
rnacentral:rRNA from 1 species